rnacentral:rRNA from 1 species
AAAAUUUAAAUUAAGAUACUAAAAUAGUAGAUAAUUAUUUAUUGAAACUUAAAUAAUUUGGCGGUAUUUUAGUUCAUUUAGAGGAAUCUGUUUAAUAAUUGAUAUUCCACGAAUAAAUUUACUUAAUUUAUAAUUUUGUAUAUCGUUGUUAUAAAAAUAUUUUUUAAUGAAAUUAAUAUUUAAAAUUUAUUAUUUAAAUUUAAAUCAGAUCAAGAUGCAGAUUAUAAUUAAGAAUAUAAUGGAUUACAAUAAAUUAAUUUAAAUGAAUAUUAAUUUGUAAAAUUUAAUUGAAGGUGGAUUUAAAUGUAAUUUUAUUUAAUUUAAUAAAAUGAUUAAAAAUUAAAAUAUGU